GCCCCGGCGUGGAUAAGACAUGCAAGUCGAACGGUUGGCAAGCGGUAGCAAUACGGCUUGUCGAUAGUGGCGAAAGGGGGCGUAACACGUGGGCAAUUUACCGCGAAGACUGGAAUAACCUGCCGAAAGGUAGGCUAAUACCGGAAGUGGUCCUCCAGGGGAAUCCUUGGUGGACUAAAGGUUAAAGGUGGGGAUCUUCGGACCUGCCGCUUCAUGAUAAGCCCGCGGCCUAUCAGCUUGUUGGUGAGGUAAAAGCUCACCAAGGCUAAGACGGGUAACUGGUCUGAGAGGACGGUCGGUCACACUGGAACUGAGACACGGUCCAGACACCUACGGGUGGCAGCAGUCGAGAAUCAUUCACAAUGGGCGAAAGCCUGAUGGUGCGACGCCGCGUGGGGGAUGAAGUGCUUCGGUAUGUAAACCCCUGUCAUCUGCGAGCAAACCUUUUCGGUUAACACCUGGAAAGCUGAUAGUAGCAGAAGAGGAAGGGACGGCUAACUCUGUGCCAGCAGCCGCGGUAAUACAGAGGUCCCAAGCGUUGUUCGGAUUCACUGGGCGUAAAGGGUGCGUAGGUGGCAAGGUAAGUUUGAUGUGAAAUCUCCGAGCUUAACUCGGAAACUGCAUUGGAUACUGCCUGGCUAGAGGAUUGGAGGGGGGACUGGAAUUCUCGGUGUAGCGGUGAAAUGCGUAGAUAUCGAGAGGAACACCAGUGGCGAAGGCGAGUCCCUGGACAAUUCCUGACACUGAGGCACGAAAGCUAGGGUAGCAAACAGGAUUAGAUACCCUGGUAGUCCUAGCCGUAAACGGUGCACGCUUGCUGUGGGAGGAUUCGACCCCUUCCGUGGCGAAGCUAACGCGUUAAGCGUGCCGCCUGGGGAGUACGGUCGCAAGAUUAAAACUCAAAGAAAUUGACGGGGGCCUGCACAAGCGGUGGAGUAUGUGGCUUAAUUCGAUGCAACGCGAAGAACCUUACCUGGCCUUGACAUGCAAGUGGUAGGAACCUGAAAGGGUAACGACCUAGCAAUAGUAGCUUGCACAGGUGCUGCAUGGCUGUCGUCAGCUCGUGUCGUGAGAUGUUGGGUUAAGUCCCGCAACGAGCGCAACCCUUGUGUCCUGUUGCCACUUCCGCGAGAGCGGGAAGCACUCUGGACAGACUGCCUCAUUUAAAUGAGGAGGAAGGUGGGGAUGACGUCAAGUCAGUAUGGCCCUUACGGCCAGGGCUGCACACGUACUACAAUGCCUGGCACAACGGGAAGCAAGACCGCAAGGUGGAGCAAAUCCCUUAAAACCAGGCCCAGUUCGGAUUGUCGUCUGCAACUCGACGGCAUGAAGGUGGAAUCGCUAGUAAUGGCGCAUCAGCUACGGCGCCGUGAAUACGUUCCCAGGCCUUGUACACACCGCCCGUCACAUCAUGAAAGUCAGCUGUACCCGAAGUCACUGAGCCAACCGCAAGGGGGCAGGUGGGCAGGCGCCGAAGGUAUGGCCUGGG
rnacentral:rRNA from 1 species